UCACCACUCCUUGUUUUCCCCGCCUAUAUACCGCCGUCCGUCAGCUUACCCUGUGAAGGUCUAACAGUAAGCAAAAUGGGUCCACCCAAAAACGUCAGGUCGAGGUGUAGCGUACGAAGUGGAAAGAAAUGGGCUACAUUUUCUGCAACAGAAUACUACGAACGAUACUCUGAAACUAGUGUCCAAAGGUGGAUUUAGUAGUAAAAAACAAAUAGAGAGUCUUUUUGAAUUAGGCUCUGAGGCGCGCACACACCGCCCGUCACUCUCCCCUAUCCCACUCAAACCUAACAUUCCUAAUAACACAAACCCCGCUACGGGGAGGCAAGUCGUAACAUGGUAAGUGUACCGGAAGGUGCACUUGGAAUAA
rnacentral:rRNA from 1 species